rnacentral:rRNA from 1 species
UACGGAGGGGACUAGCGUUGUUCGGAAUUACUGGGCGUAAAGCGCACGUAGGCGGAUUUGUAAGUCAGGGGUGAAAUCCCGGGGCUCAACCCCGGAACUGCCUCUGAUACUGCGGGCCUCGAGGGAGGUAGGGGCGUGCGGAACUCAGGGUGGAGCGGUGAAAUGCGUAGAUAUCCUGAGGAACACCGGUGGCGAAAGCGGCGCGCUGGACCUCUUCUGACGCUGAGGCGCGAAAGCCAGGGGAGCAAACGGG